UUAAUGAGGCGAACCGGGGGAACUGAAACAUCUAAGUACCCCGAGGAAAAGAAAUCAACCGAGAUUCCCCCAGUAGCGGCGAGCGAACGGGGAGCAGCCCAGAGCCUGAAUCAGUAUGUGUGUUAGUGGAAGCGUCUGGAAAGGCGCGCGAUACAGGGUGACAGCCCCGUACACAAAAAUGCACAUGCUGUGAGCUCGAUGAGUAGGGCGGGACACGUGGUAUCCUGUCUGAAUAUGGGGGGACCAUCCUCCAAGGCUAAAUACUCCUGACUGACCGAUAGUGAACCAGUACCGUGAGGGAAAGGCGAAAAGAACCCCGGCGAGGGGAGUGAAAAAGAACCUGAAACCGUGUACGUACAAGCAGUGGGAGCACGCUUAGGCGUGUGACUGCGUACCUUUUGUAUAAUGGGUCAGCGACUUAUAUUCUGUAGCAAGGUUAACCGAAUAGGGGAGCCGAAGGGAAACCGAGUCUUAACUGGGCGUUAAGUUGCAGGGUAUAGACCCGAAACCCGGUGAUCUAGCCAUGGGCAGGUUGAAGGUUGGGUAACACUAACUGGAGGACCGAACCGACUAAUGUUGAAAAAUUAGCGGAUGACUUGUGGCUGGGGGUGAAAGGCCAAUCAAACCGGGAGAUAGCUGGUUCUCCCCGAAAGCUAUUUAGGUAGCGCCUCGUGAAUUCAUCUCCGGGGGUAGAGCACUGUUUCGGCAAGGGGGUCAUCCCGACUUACCAACCCGAUGCAAACUGCGAAUACCGGAGAAUGUUAUCACGGGAGACACACGGCGGGUGCUAACGUCCGUCGUGAAGAGGGAAACAACCCAGACCGCCAGCUAAGGUCCCAAAGUCAUGGUUAAGUGGGAAACGAUGUGGGAAGGCCCAGACAGCCAGGAUGUUGGCUUAGAAGCAGCCAUCAUUUAAAGAAAGCGUAAUAGCUCACUGGUCGAGUCGGCCUGCGCGGAAGAUGUAACGGGGCUAAACCAUGCACCGAAGCUGCGGCAGCGACGCUGAUGCGUUGUUGGGUA
rnacentral:rRNA from 1 species